rnacentral:rRNA from 1 species
GACGAACGCUGGCGGCGUGCUUAACACAUGCAAGUCGAACGGAAAGGCCCUGCUUUUGUGGGGUGCUCGAGUGGCGAACGGGUGAGUAACACGUGAGUAACCUGCCCUUGACUUUGGGAUAACUUCAGGAAACUGGGGCUAAUACCGGAUAGGAGCUCCUGCUGCAUGGUGGGGGUUGGAAAGUUUCGGCGGUUGGGGAUGGACUCGCGGCUUAUCAGCUUGUUGGUGGGGUAGUGGCUUACCCAGGCGUUGACGGGUAGCCGGCCUGAGAGGGUGACCGGCCACAUGGGGACUGAGAUACGGCCCAGACUCCUACGGGAGGCAGCAGUGGGGAAUAUUGCACAAUGGGCGGAAGCCUGAUGCAGCAACGCCGCGUGCGGGAUGACGGCCUUCGGGUUGUAAACCGCUUUCGCCUGUGACGAAGCGUGAGUGACGGUAAUGAGUAAAGAAGCACCGGCUAACUACGUG